rnacentral:pre_miRNA from 1 species
GAUUUCAACUGAAAAAGUUAUCAACAAUAAAGAUGUAUAACUCAUCAAUAUCUAUAACUUUUAUUUUGUUUAUUUUUUCAUCCGACAAAGUGAUAGUAACAUUGUUCACAAAAUUUACAUAUAUCUCCUAUAGUUUAUAAACUAUAUAAGAGAUAUAUACAUUUUGUAAACAAUCUUAUAAAUCACUUUAUCGGAUGAAGAAAUGACCCAAAUAAAAGUUAUGGAUCUUGAUGAGUUAUACCACUUUGUUAUUGAUGAAUUUUUCAGUUGAAAUC